rnacentral:rRNA from 1 species
GCUAAACAGCUAGCUUAACCACUUAAAUAACUAACACAACAUCAAAAAAUUUAACAUAAACUACAACCUAUUUAAACCAAAACAUUCUACCGCCUCAGUAUGGGAGACAGAAAAGGCACAACCCAAAGCAAUAACAAAAGUACCGCAAGGGAAUACUGAAAAAGAAAUGAAAUAAAUCAUUAAAGCACAACAAAGCAGAGAUUAAUCCUCGUACCUUUUGCAUCAUGAUUUAGCCAGUACCCUCGAGCAAAGAGUACUAUAGUUCAAAACCCCGAAACUAAGUGAGCUACCCCGGGACAGCCUAUAAAUUAGGGCCAACCCGUCUCUGUGGCAAAAGAGUGGGAAGAUCCCCGGGUAGAGGUGACAAACCUACCGAACUUAGUUAUAGCUGGUUGCCUAAGAAAUGGAUAGAAGUUCAGCCUGCACCCCUCAACUCACAUAAACAUUAAAACAUACGAGUCAGAGUAACAUGCAAGAGUUAAUCAGAGGAGGUACAGCUCCUCUGAAACAGGACACAACCUUACCAGGAGGUUAAAGAUUACAUUAAUCAAGAUAUACCGCUUCAGUGGGCCUAAAAGCAGCCAUCCAAUCAGAAAGCGUUAAAGCUCAAGCGGACCGAAAAUCUAUUAUUCAAAUAUUUAAUCUUAAACCCCUAACUAUAUUAGGCCACCCUAUGCAUACAUAGGAGAGACGCUGCUAAAAUGAGUAAUAAGAAGGAAUCCCCUUCUCCCCAGCCUACGUGUACGCUAGAUCGAACCCCCACUAGCAAUUACCGAACCCAAUUAAAAGAGGGCAAUGUGUUUUCAUCAAACAUCAAGAAAACCCCACAUAACCAAAUCGUUAACCCCACACUGGAAGGCCUAAACAUAGGGAAAGACUAAAAGAAAAGGAAGGAACUCGGCAAACACAAGCCUCGCCUGUUUACCAAAAACAUCGCCUCCUGCAAAAAUCAAUAUAUAGGAGGUCUUGCCUGCCCAGUGACAAGUUUUAACGGCCGCGGUAUUUUGACCGUGCAAAGGUAGCGCAAUCACUUGUCUUUUAAAUGAAGACCUGUAUGAAUGGUGGAACGAGGGCUUAACUGUCUCCCCUUUCAAGUCAAUGAAAUUGAUCUGCCCGUGCAGAAGCGGACAUAUAUAUACAAGACGAGAAGACCCUUUGGAGCUUUAGAUACAAGAUCACCU